UGGGGGUUUCCUUCAUCAGCUGUGGAGAGGCACAUUCUGCUGUUCUCACCAAGGUAUCAUACUAUUACUGUGGAGAGGGACACUGCUGUUCUCACCAAGGUAUCAUACUAUUACUGUGGAGAGGCACAUUCCGCUGUUCUCACCAAGGUAACAUGCUAUUACUGUGGAGAGGGACACUGCUGUUUUCACAAAGGUAUCAUCCUAUUACUGUGGAGAGGGACACUGCUGUUCUCACCAAGGGUGGACAGGUGUUCACCUUUGGAGAGGGAAGCCGAGGCCAGCUUGGGCACAAUGCAUCAGCUAACGAACUCCUACCCAAACUGGUAGAGGGUAUGGAUGGACUGGCCUCACAGAUAGCAUGUGGCAGGUAAUGACCAACAGCAUAAUGCUACUUAUACACAUAUAUACACAUAUAAUAAACAGAGUCCAUAAACAUGGUUCGGAGGACUGAGAAGAAAAAUUCAGGAAACAGGGAGUUUCGGAAUAAGUGAGGGUAGAAAAUACCAAGGGGACCGAGGAAUAACAUAGGAAUGUAAUAGAAGUAGCACCAGGAGUGUUUCCUGGAAACCAAUCUUGAACAUUCUCAGUCUGACUGUGUUU
ensembl:lncRNA